rnacentral:rRNA from 1 species
UACGUAGGUGGCAAGCGUUGUCCGGAUUUACUGGGCGUAAAGAGCGCGCAGGCGGUCGAUCAAGUCGAGUGUGAAAGCCCCCGGCUCAACUGGGGAGGGUCAUUCGAUACUGAUCGACUCGAAGGCAGGAGAGGGUAGUGGAAUUCCCGGUGUAGUGGUGAAAUGCGUAGAUAUCGGGAGGAACACCAGUGGCGAAGGCGACUACCUGGCCUGUUCUUGACGCUGAGGCGCGAAAGCUAGGGGAGCAAACGGG